CCAACGAAAAAAAAAAAAAAAAAAAAAAAACGUCCUCAGGCUGGAAAUUUUAGGAAACUACACAACGAGCCCCAGAUCUGAAAUAUCUGUUGCACCUGGAUCCUGGAACCCCCUUUAGAUCCAAAACCACCUGCAACUGGGCUUCAAACAACAAUGGCGAAAGUGGAAGAAGUGCAGCAAGAGUCAAAUGGCAACAACAUCGUGAAGCAGAAAAAGAAGAGGAACCAUGGCUCAACCGAGUUCUUCGUCUUCGUGGAUUACGUUUUCCUCUCGAUCUUCUUUGCGUUCCUCUGCUUCAUCAUCUUCAAGAUUGUACUCGGCACCACAUCCGAUUCCUUUACACUCUAGAGACCGAGAUUCUUUUCAAUCAGGUACAUGUGCAAGCUUGAAGGCCUAACCGGGCAUUGACUUGGUCAGAUUCAGAUUCUGCGAUCUCAAAUUCAUGACGUUUUCUUGGUAUCGAAAAAUCAUGUGCCCUUUUGAUCAAAUGUGAUUUAGAAACAAUUGCUUUUUAUGGCCUGUAAUUCUGGGAACAUACAUAUACAUGUUGAAGUGGAUCAUAUCAGUGUCAUAUGAAUGUUAAUCUCUGCGAAUUGGUAUCAUGUACUAUUCAUAUAUGAACUUGGUUGAUGGGUUAUGCCUUUCUUUUUCUUCUUCA